GACGAACGCUGGCGGCGUGCCUAACACAUGCAAGUCGAGCGGGGACAGUUGGAAGCUUGCUUUUGACUGUUUUAGCGGCGGACGGGUGAGUAACGCGUGAGCAACCUUUCCCAGACAGGGGAAUAACACACCGAAAGGUGUACUAAUACCGCAUAAGACCACGGGAUCACAUGGUUCUGAGGUAAAAGAUUUAUCGGUUUGGGGUGGGCUCGCGUCCGAUUAGGUAGUUGGUGAGGUAACGGCCCACCAAGCCGACGAUCGGUAGCCGACCUGAGAGGGUGAUCGGCCACAUUGGGACUGAGACACGGCCCAAACUCCUACGGGAGGCAGCAGUGGGGAAUAUUGGGCAAUGGGGGAAACCCUGAUGCAGCGACGCCGCGUGGAGGAAGAAGGUCUUCGGAUUGUAAACUCCUGUUGUUGAGGAAGAUAAUGACGGUACUCAACAAGGAAGUGACGGCUAACUACGUG
rnacentral:rRNA from 1 species